rnacentral:rRNA from 1 species
UACGUAGGGUGCAAGCGUUGUCCGGAAUUAUUGGGCGUAAAGAGCUCGUAGGCGGUCUGUCGCGUCUGCUGUGAAAACUCAGGGCUUAACCCUGAGCUUGCAGUGGGUACGGGCAGACUAGAGUGCGGUAGGGGAGACUGGAAUUCCUGGUGUAGCGGUGAAAUGCGCAGAUAUCAGGAGGAACACCGGUGGCGAAGGCGGGGUCUCUGGGCCGAUACUGACGCUGGAGGAGCGAAAGCGUGGGGAGCGAACAGG